AGAACAACCUCCUUUGUUUUGUUCAUGUACACUCAAUCAUUAGUCUCUAUCUCUCUCUCUCUCUCUCACUCUCGAUCGGAGAUUCUCCCUUCCCUAAUUUUGACCAUUAUCUUCUCCUCUGGUGACUUCCUCACCUCCCACUCCCUGUGCAUCUUCUUCCUCUCUCCAUGGAUUCUAAUGCUAGUUGUCUAACACCACCAUUAGGCCCAACAAUGUCGAUUAGUUUCAACGUCGUCGAUUCUGACUAUCAGCUUCCUUUUCACAUCCAGUUACGAGUACUAUUGAAUACAAGCCCUACACCGGCUACCAGCAAGGUUAUUGUAUGUUCAAAUAGCUUAUUUAAGAAGCUUAUCUUACACCAUACCAAAAAUCAAGGAUUGGAGAUGCAAUGGCAAAGGUUAUGUGGCUUAUCGCAAUUUUUUUACCAGGCUGGAGAAUCGAAUGAAGUUGCAACCACCUAGCCACCUAAGUAGUCCUGGAACCAAGUGAUUUCCAUUUUUACUUGAUAUUCACAAAAUGUUUAUUACUUGACUCACCUUUGUGUUCCCAGACAUGAUCCAGAAAUAGAUGGCCGUAUCAUUAUGGGGAGGGUUCACUGCACUGAAUAAGUUGACCUGUGUAGAAGGAACUACAUUCAAGGUUAUCCAUCUAUUCGGAUAUUCUGAAAGGGCAGUGAUGUUAUUUUUUCUCAUUGUGUGAUAGUAUUUUAUAUUUCCUGAAUAGCUAUAUGCAGAGUCAUUAGCUAGGUUUGCAGGAGGUUCUCUAUAUAUCUACCCUCUCUGAUAAAUAUUUGCAGGCAUUUACUCGUUUGAGUGCAGUCUAUGGUGGCAUGUACACGCUCAACAAACCAGAAUGCAAGAUAUUCAAUUUUAGCACAGGAAGAUUAACAGAUAAAAUAGUUGUGGACAGCAAGGUCAAUUUAUUUUUUGUGGGGAUUCACAUGUGAGUAGGCGUUUCAAACCAUCUUGGUUUUAUCUUACUUGCAAAAGUUUCUCCAAGUCACGAGCUUCUCCCAGUUGUAUGUUUUCAAAUCUGAAGAUGGUGAUGCAAACAAGUAAACAUAGCUACACAAUCAGUUUUCUUGAUAUUGUAUAUAUGAAAUUUUUAAACAAUUUCAAAUUAUGUAGUAUGUUUUAGUAAACAAUUGUAUAAGAUAUUCAAAUGUUUUGAUAUUGUAUGAUUUAAUGUUUUUGUAGUUAAA